GUGAGUCAUCGAAUCUUUGAACGCACCUUGCGCUCUUUGGUAUUCCGAAGAGCAUGCCUGUUCGAGUGUCAUUAAAUUCUCAACUCCUCAAAGGUUGUCAUGACCUUUGUUGAGCUUGGACGUGAGGGCUGCCGGCUACCCAGUCGGCUCCCUUGAAAUUGAUUAGCGCAGCUUUGGCGAGCCGCUUCAAGUGUGAUAAUCUAUCUACUCUUGAGUGUCGUCUAAAACGGCUUUGUGCUUCAAACCGUCCCUCGUGGACAACAUUUUUUGAACUUGACCUCGAAUCAGGUAGGACUACCCGCUGAACUUAAGCAUAUCAAUAAGCGGAGGA
rnacentral:misc_RNA from 1 species